UCCUAACGCAUGUGAACAUAUAGUAUGUAUUAAGUCCCUAUCCUUUUCAUCUUAACCAUUCAUAUAUUACAACCUUAUACAUUCCUCACAUAUUACCCUGUAACAUGCAUGUAUAAACUUUCAUACAUUAUAUCAUUCAUUACAUCAUUUGAAAUAU